UACGUAGGGGGCUAGCGUUGUCCGGAAUCAUUGUGCGUAAAGCGCGUGUAGGCGGCUCGGUAAGUCCGCUCUGAAAGUCCAAGGCUCAACCUUGGGAUGCGGGUGGAUACUGCCGGGCUCGAGUCCGGAAGAGGCGAGUGGAAUUCCUGGUGUAGCGGUGAAAUGCGCAGAUAUCAGGAGGAACACCAAUGGCGAAGGCAGCUCGCUGGGACGUGACUGACGCUGAGACGCGAAAGCGUGGGGAGCGAACAGG
rnacentral:rRNA from 1 species